GGAAACGACUGCUAAGACUGGAUAGGAGACAAGAAGGCAUCUUCUUGUUUUUAAAAGACCUAGCAAUAGGUAUGCUUAGGGAGGAGCUUGCGUCACAUUAGUUAGUUGGUGGGGUAAAGGCCUACCAAGACUAUGAUGUGUAGCCGGGCUGAGAGGUUGAACGGCCACAUUGGGACUGAGACACGGCCCAAACUCCUACGGGAGGCAGCAGUAGGGAAUUUUCGGCAAUGGAGGAAACUCUGACCGAGCAACGCCGCGUGAACGAUGAAGUAUUUCGGUACGUAAAGUUCUUUUAUUAGGGAAGAAUAAAUGAUGGAAAAAUCAUUCUGACGGUACCUAAUGAAUAAGCCCCGGCUAACUAUGUGCCAGCAGCCGCGGUAAUACAUAGGGGGCAAGCGUUAUCCGGAAUUAUUGGGCGUAAAGGGUGCGUAGGCGGUUAAAUAAGUUUAUGGUCUAAGUGCAAUGCUCAACAUUGUGAUGCUAUAAAAACUGUUUAGCUAGAGUAAGAUAGAGGCAAGUGGAAUUCCAUGUGUAGUGGUAAAAUGCGUAAAUAUAUGGAGGAACACCAGUAGCGAAGGCGGCUUGCUGGGUCUUUACUGACGCUGAGGCACGAAAGCGUGGGGAGCAAACAGGAUUAGAUACCCUGGUAGUCCACGCCGUAAACGAUGAGUACUAAACGUUGGGUAAAACCAGUGUUGAAGUUAACACAUUAAGUACUCCGCCUGAGUAGUACGUACGCAAGUAUGAAACUUAAAGGAAUUGACGGGACUCCGCACAAGCGGUGGAUCAUGUUGUUUAAUUCGAAGGUACCCGAAAAACCUCACCAGGUCUUGACAUGCUUCUGCAAAGCUGUAGAAACACAGUGGAGGUUAUCAGUUGCACAGGUGGUGCAUGGUUGUCGUCAGCUCGUGUCGUGAGAUGUUGGGUUAAGUCCCGCAACGAGCGCAACCCUUAUUGUUAGUUACCAGCACGUAAUGGUGGGGACUUUAGCAAGACUGCCAGUGAUGAAUUGGAGGAAGGUGGGGACGACGUCAAAUCAUCAUGCCCCUUAUGACCUGGGCUACAAACGUGAUACAAUGGCUGUUACAAAGGGUAGCUGAAGCGCAAGUUUUUGGCGAAUCUCAAAAAAACAGUCUCAGUUCGGAUUGAAGUCUGCAACUCGACUUCAUGAAGUUGGAAUCGCUAGUAAUCGCGAAUCAGCAUGUCGCGGUGAAUACGUUCUCGGGGUUUGUACACACCGCCCGUCA
rnacentral:rRNA from 1 species